GAUGAACGCUGGCGGCGUGCCUAAUACAUGCAAGUCGAGCGAACAGACGAGGAGCUUGCUCCUCUGACGUUAGCGGCGGACGGGUGAGUAACACGUGGAUAACCUACCUAUAAGACUGGGAUAACUUCGGGAAACCGGAGCUAAUACCGGAUAAUAUAUUGAACCGCAUGGUUCAAUAGUGAAAGACGGUUUUGCUGUCACUUAUAGAUGGAUCCGCGCCGCAUUAGCUAGUUGGUAAGGUAACGGCUUACCAAGGCAGCGAUGCGUAGCCGACCUGAGAGGGUGAUCGGCCACCCGGGAACUGAGAAACGGUCCAGACUCCGACGGGAGGAAGCAGUCGGGAAUCUUCCGCAAUGGGGGAGAGGCGGACGGAGCAACGCGGCGUGAGGGAUGAAGGUGUUCGGAUCGUAAAACGCUGUUAUUAGGGAAGAACAAAUGUGUAAGUAACUAUGCACGUCUUGACGGUACCUGAUGAGAAAGCCACGGCUAACUACGUG
rnacentral:rRNA from 1 species